ACAGAGAGAAAAGUAAAUUAUUAUUAAACAAUAAGACUAUAUAUUCAUUGUACCUGUUUGUAGCUCAUAAAGAGCAAGAGAAAAUUACUAUUUUUCACAGAAAAAAAAAAGAUAAAAAUACUCAAAGAACAGGAUACUAUCUUUCUGGAAUUUCUUCCCCACUGAAAUUUUGUGAAACAUAACUGAUCAUAGUUGUAUCACCAACUAAAGAGAUCUACUUGCUUAAACCCUAUAGAAAGCUUACAAAUUAGUAUAAACCCAUAAAAAAAGUGUCAAACUAGAAUUAAGUCUCAAUCUAUUGCCUAGAAGUAAAGCUUAAAGUCUACAGACAAAAAAGCUACUGAGUGUGGUAAGCUGUGACACUGUACCUAGAAACAGAAUCUGAUUUUAAGGGCGCAUUCUGUUUAUUAAAUACUACAUAUGGCGUAAGAAUUUCACUGAAGUCAAACAGAUCAUAGAGCAACUUAGUUCCUACGUUUGAGUACUUUAUAUACCUUAUAUUGCCAAUUGCAAUUGUAGGUAUACAGAAAAUUAUUACCCAACACUAGUAAAAUCUUUUGAUAAUAAUCAGUUUUUGUUUAUGUAAUUAUGUAAUUAACCAUAUAAGCCAUUACUCUACACUAACAAUGACAGAAAUAAAGUACUUGCUUCAAUAUAGCACUUCUUCUAAGUAUAACACAUUGUAAGUUUCAAAGAAUGAAGGUCAUCAACUAGCUGCAUGUAUCAUUGUGAUCAUUUGUAAAUUUUCUAAGCUUCUGUUAAUUAUAUAAUUUUGAUCUACUUGUGAGCUGACAUACAUGUAAAUUGUGAAAGUCUAGGAUUUGCUUUUAUGGACCACUUUAAUAUCCCUGCAGAGCUUUCAAGACCACUGAAUUACCAAGAUCAAACUAUUCUAAUUCUAUGUCAUUUCUACAGAAGAAAUGCUAGAGGACCACCAUAGUAUCAAACCUCAGGCAUUUCACAGAGUUCUGGGGUUAUUACAACUCCCUCUGUACCACUUCGGUUUCUAUCUCAUAAUGCUAGAACUGUUAGUACUGCAGUAGCACAGCAGAUGACAGUAGCAGCGCAUCCAGUCCUAGCAGUCUGAUGAAAUAACACCAGAAAAGGAGUGAUACAUUUUUGGAAAUUAGGAUUGCUUGUGAAACACAUCCUUUUAGUUUGAAUUACAGGUCAGAACCGCCUAUAAGUGGAGACUGUUACCGUGAAGAACAGUAACUUAUGCAGACAUCAUCCCUUCACAGCUCUUGCUCCCAGGUACUUCAUAUUUUCAUCAUUGUACUGGUUUCACAAAUGUGCAUUUGACAUCUCUUACAUACCUAUAAAAUCUUAGUUUUCUAUAAUCUAUAAUGGAUCUUUAAUUCUACAAAAAGGGCAGGAAAACAUGAAUAUACCAGCACUUAGACUACUGUUGCAGCAAGAGCUGCAACAAAGACCACUGGGAACUUGAAAAAGUGUCUUGAAACUGCUUCUGACCUGAUAAAGUUUGGCUGGUGAUCUGUUGUUUUCAGAAGCAGUGGGGAGAACUGAACUG